rnacentral:rRNA from 1 species
UACAGAGGGGGCAAGCGUUGUUCGGAAUUACUGGGCGUAAAGGGCGCGUAGGCGGCCUGUUAAGUCGAACGUGAAAUCCCCGGGCUCAACCCGGGAACUGCGUCCGAUACUGGCAGGCUUGAAUUCGGGAGAGGGAUGUGGAAUUCCAGGUGUAGCGGUGAAAUGCGUAGAUAUUCGCAAGAACACCAGUGGCGAAGGCGGCUCACUGGCCCGGUACUGACGCUGAGGUGCGAAAGCGUGGGGAGCAAACAGG